UACAUUUAUAGUACAGAGUAUAAAGAAUCUACUACGUGCCAUUUUAAAAAUUUUAUUUAAAAAGCGUAAGAAUCGAUGCGCAAUCCUCUUAUUAGGCUAAUAUUACAUUUGUCGUACGAUAAAUAUUUUAAGCACAUUGAUUGGUUGCGGGAUAAUAAUUUUUUGAAUCUUUAAAAAUUUUCUAUUCUGCAGCCAAUCAGUGUGCUUAAAAAAUUUGUCGUACGAUAAAUGUAAUAUUAGCCUUAUGCGUGUUUUUGUAGCAACUUCAUGUUGUUCUUUCGCGCGGAAUUGUCGUAUCGUAAAGAAGCAGAGACUUUGAGCUCCGAUAAUAUUUGCACAAAUAAUUAUUGUGAAGAAACCAUGGAUGACUUGGGGAUUUCUACAUAUAUACAUCACAUAUUGUUAAUUGUCACAUCAAUAAUAUAGAAUGUAAAAUACACAGGCGAGGAAAAAGAUAAAUGCUAAUGCGAGC